rnacentral:misc_RNA from 1 species
CCCUAUGUCGCUCCGAUUCGUCCCUCCCCCCCACCCCCAACGCACACACUCCCCCCUCUCCCCUUUCCCCGGCCCCGGCCCUGAGGUUUGAAACCACCCCCGCCACGCGCCGGCUAUGUCCCCCCGACCCUUCGAUGCCUCUGCUAGUCGGGAUCCCCCCCCCAACCCCCCGUGCCCAUGUCACGUCGUCUUUUCCCCUAAAACUUGGCAAAGGCAUGGAAACUUGGAAGCUUGACCAAAGACACGUGACGUGUGCCACGGGGCCUUGCAUGGUGCCCGCGAGCCAAGCCAAGGUGGCACGCGGCCUUGCAUGGUGCCCUCCUGCGAGCCAAGACAAGGUGGCACGGGGCCUUGCUUGGUGCCCGCGAGGCAAGCCAAGGUGGCACGGGGCCUUGCAUGGUGCCCUCCCGCGAGCCGAGCCAAGGUGCCACGGGGCCUUGCAUGGUGCCCUCCCGCGAGCCGAGCCAAGGUGCCACGGGGCCUUGCUUGGUGCCCGCCCACGAGCCAAGCCAAGCCAAGGUGCCACGGGGCCUUGCWUGGUGCCCKCCCGCGAGCCAAGCCAAGGUGSCACGGGGCCUUGCUUGGUGCCCUCCGGCGAGCCAAGCCAAGGUGGCACGGGGCCUUGCAUGGUGCCCGCUCGCGAGCCAAGCCAAGACACGCGACGCGUGCCACGGGGCCUUGCUUGGUGCCCACGAGCCAAGCCAAGACACGCGACGCGUGCCAUGGGGCCUUGCUUGGUGCCCACGAGCCGAGCCAAGACACAUGACGCGUGCCACCUCCCGUGCGACGACAGCUACAAUGACCCUCGAUAUGGUGCUAGAGGCUGUGCUAGGACACGUGACCCAUGCCAUGAUGCGUGCCACGGCCCGAGGCACGACACGUCUCGCAUGCCACGACCCCCAUGCCAUGGUGCCACGACACCUGUAAUGACCCAUUCCAUGGUGGUAGAGGCUGUGCCAAGACACAUGCUGCGUGCCCUAUCUGGAUUUCGACCCUGAUGCCUUGACAAGGUUCCGGAUUAUGGACUAUUGCUAAUCACGGAAUGUUAUUAAUCCAUGGAUUCAUGUUGCAAAGGUUGUUCGCUAUUUUUUUUAUAUGGUUUUUUUAAGUAAAAAAAUUUUAAAAUAAAUUUUGUUUGGACAAUCCUUGGAUUCUUUUUUAAGAUUUCUUUUUCCCAUAUCAAAUACAAAUUUUAAAAAUAUUUAAAGCAAGUUUUACUUAUUUUUCCCCCAUUUUUCUAAGUAAAAAAGCUAAAAAAAAUAUUUUUUGGCCAAGAGAGCUUCACCAAUCCUUGAAUUCGUCUUCCAUAUAUUUUUCCCAUGUGAAAUACAUUUUUUWAAAAUAUUUACACUAUUUUUUCCUCAUUUUUACUAUUUUUUAAGUAAAAAAUUCAAAAAAAAAAAUUAUUUUUUGAGAGAUAAGUUGCAUUAAUUCAUGGAUUCCUAUUCCAGAUAUUUUUCCCAUGUGAAAUACAAUUUUUAAAAAUAUUUUCACUAUUUUUUGGUAUUUUUUACUAUUUUUCCCUAUUUUUCCCUAUUUUUCGGACAAAAAAAUUAAAAUAAAUAUUUUCUGGGCCGAAAUUUUUUUUUUUUUUUUUCCUUGGGUUCAUAUAAUUAUUAUAAAGAGAUUCAGCAAAAAAAACGGAAUUAAAAACUCUUUUUUCAUUAAAAAAUGGCAUUAUGUCUCCUCAAGCAUGGGUGAUGUCUCCUCAAGGCAUUUCCAAAACGGCCCAAAAUGCUCUUUAAGGGGGGGGUGCUGUCCUCAAUGGGCUGGCAGCACCACCCGCCCAGGCACGCUGCAGCGCGUGCCGCCCUUGGCGUGCAGGCCGCCCAUGCCACCCUAGGCAUGGUGCCCCCGCAUAUGCCACCCUCAAGCCCACGACACGCUAAUGCGAAGAGAGCACGCCCGCGACACCGUGGGGAGCCCUCGCACGCAACAGCAGUCACCCCGUGCCCCGCACACGCUGCACCCCGGACGCGUCCCAUGCCCCCCAUGCGGACACGCCCUCCCCCCCAUGCAACGAGUGCCCUCCCCGCGCACUCGGCCCCGUCCCUCCCCGUCUCGGCUCGACCCCUCGAGCGAGCAUGUUGCCUCGGAAAAACGUGCCAGUGGCCAACGUCGCGGCUCACCCCGGGGGGCUCACCCAUGCCUCCCGCCCGACGCUGCCCAUCAAAAGGCACACGGACGCCCCUCCCCCCAUGCAACGAGUGCCCUCCCCGUGCACUCGGCCCCGUCUCGGCUCGCCGAGGAGCCCUCGAGCCCUCGAGCGAGCACGUUGCCUCGGACAAGCUUGCCAAUGGCCAGCGUCGCGGCUCACCCCGGGGGCUCCCCCAUGCCUCCCGCCCGACGUUGCCCAUCGAAAGCCACACGGAUGCCCCUCCCCCCCAUGCAACGAGAGCCCUCCCCGGGUGCUCGGCCCCCCGUCUCGRCUCAUCGAGGAGCCCUCAAGCCCUCGAGCGAGCAUGUUGCCUCGGAAAAACGUGCCAGUGGCCAACGUCGCGGCUCACCCCGGGGGGCUCACCCAUGCCUCCCGCCCGACGUUGCCCAUCGAAAGGCACACGGAUGCCCCUCCCCCCCAUGCAACGAGUGCCCUCCCCGGACACUCGGCCCCGUCCCGGCUCGUCGAGGAGCCCUCAAGCCCUCGAGCGAGCAUGUUGCCUCGGAAAGGAGCCAGACGCAUCGUCGCCAUGCCUAUAUCGGUCCUACGAAGGCUUCACUCGUUGCUCCCGUGUGCUCGUCAGGAGUCGCCUCCGGACGAGUCGCGGUUCGACGCGUGAUGCCGUGUCGUAGUGAACCUGAUGGCGUGUGAGUGGUGUUUGGGUCGCGUGGGUCGGCAGGCUCCUUGCUCGUGCAACGAACUGUCGCCGCACCCCCCUCUUCAUUCUAAGCCUCAAGCGCUGCAACAAGCCUUGGGCGUCGCGAUGCCGUGGUUCCUGUGUUGCCUUCCUAACGGAUGGAAUUGUCCCUCGAACGUUGCCUAUCUCCGCCCGGCUCCCGCUCACGCGGUGCGGGCGGACCUCGAAAGCGGUCGCCGCGUCCCAUGGUCGCCCCACGCAUGCGCACGCAUGAGAGGGGUCGAGCAUGGCCCGCGACAGCCGCUCGUGCUCUCGGAUGCGGAACCUUAAAACGGGCGUGGGGUCUCUCGGGAUCCCGUACUCGCUCGAGCUAAGCGUUCGUCGCUAGACGCGUACGACGGCCGUCCCCGCCUUUGCCCUCCCGUCCCGCUCCCCUCGGGGGGCGUCGGUCAGGCGCAUGCGGUGCCGGCGUCGCACAGGAAUGC